rnacentral:lncRNA from 1 species
GGGUCAGUUUCAGCCAAGAUUCAAAGUAUAAGGGGACCUCCAUUCGCCCUCCACCCUGGAAGGUGGCUCUUAGCACCAACUAAGAGAGAUUCCAAUCCCACCAUAUACUCACUGUGCGACCUUGGGAAAGUGAGCUCAGAGCCAAGCAUCCUCAGAGAGAACCAAGCAUCUCGUGGGCUCAGGAAGACAGGGUAAGAGGUCAGGACUUUAGCCUUGUUGUAUGCAAGGCUCAUGCAUACAGAGUCCCUAGAGCUCUGAGCACACAACGCUGUGCAUAGGAAAUGCUUGCUGGACAUUAGAGAAGGCAUGUCUAGGGGCACACUUGUCCUAGAACAUUCCAGAAGAAUGAACAAAGUUUGCUCUUGUUUGUAAGUUCAGCCACUGUUACCUUCUAUUGUAGCCCUGUGGACAAUGUCAGCCCAGAAGAGGGUCAGCUCUGUAGGUAGAUGGGGCUGGGCACCUUGAAAACCUGGAGCCUGCAGACUUAAAGCAAAAUGUAGUUUCUCUGGUUAGAGGAGUACUCUGCAGCUUGCGCUCUGGGCUUGGUGGGUUUUCUCUGAGUGAACAGCCAGAUGUGCUCAGCUUGGAACUCUCUAAAAUAAAACAACUUACAUCCACCAAGGACAGCCAGGCCCCGAAUAGACUGGAAAGUGGCCUUGAGAGGCCACAGCACAGAGCUGAGGACCCCAUGAGGUCGCCCGGACUUGGUGACCCCACCCCCACCUCACCCCACACACUACCCCC